ACUCACCUACGAGGAGCAAGAGUCAUUAGCCGAAUCCUUCAAGAGCUUUCUGGGCCACAGCUUUUCCAUCCUGAGAAAGCAAAAGAAGCUUUUUCCUGCAGGAAACAAGGAGGCCCACAGAAAACUCGACGGUCUUCUCAAGUUCCUGGCCGCUCUCUCCGGCAUGGAGAUCUUCCGGCGCGUGCUGCCGUUUCAGCGCGAGAUCCGCACCGAGAUCAGCCAGACGGUGAAGAAGGGCUGUGUCGAGUGGUACUCGCGGCUGCGCGACCACCUGCAGCUGGACCCCAGCGGCGAAGACUCGGCCGUGCUGCAGGCCCUCAUCAGGCUAGUGAAUGAGGUCAGCUGUCACUGCUUCCACGGCCACAACCACCACAACCAGCUGUU